AUUAUUAUUUCCGACACCCCUUGAACACACUUUGAUUUUCCGUAGUUCAGUGAAUGCAACAAAAGCAGCUGCUGCAUUAAGCUAGGCAAAACGGAGCAAGACACCCGAGAGCAAUUAACAAGCUACACAAGCCCUUUAUGUGUUUUACUCUCGACCAAAACCAGGCAGAGCGUGGGUUUGUUUCUUGGGAACUCCGACUGGUUUUUUGUGAUCCUGGAUCUGAAGUGGUUCUGGAUAUGGAUGACGAGCCAGACCCUGUGAAAACUCUUGGCGAAUCCAAAAGCAGUGUGGCCAGCUGUUCUGGAUGCAGGAGUAGAUCUACAGACUGAAUUACUUCAAAUCACAGGAUUUCAGAUAAGCAAG